rnacentral:tRNA from 1 species
CGGGGCCUUAGCUCAGCUGGGAGAGCGCCUGAUUUGCAUUCAGGAGGUCAUCGGUUCGAUCCCGAUAGGCUCCACCAACCC